rnacentral:rRNA from 1 species
AUUGAACGCUGGCGGCAGGCUUACCACAUGCAAGUCGAGCGAGCGGCGGACGGGUGAGUAAUGUCUGGGAAUCUGCCUGAUGGAGGGGGAUAACUACUGGAAACGGUAGCUAAUACCGCAUACCAUCAGAUGUGCCCAGAUGGGAUUAGCUAGUAGGUGGGGUAAUGGCUCACCUACGCGACGAUCCCUAGCUGGUCUGAGAGGAUGACCAGCCACACUGGAACUGAAACACGGUCCGGAUUCCUACGGAAGGCAGGAGUGGGGAAUAUUAAACAAUGGGCGCAAGCCAGAUGCAGCCAGGCCGCGUGUGUGAAGAAGGCCUACGAGUUGUAAAGCACUUUCAGCGAGGAGGCGUUACUCGCAGAGGAAGCACCGGCUAACUCCGUGCCAGCAGCCGCGGUAAUA